AUCUGUUCGUGUUGGUUGUUGUCAGGCCAAACAGAACUGGGAACAGGCUAGAAGAAGAGUCCUGCCUUCUAUCCACUCAGUGUUAACCAGGAGAGACAGCGUGGACUGGCCGACCAGAAGCACCAUGACCAGUGUUAACUCCCCCGCCUGCCUCCUGGCUCGUAACCAGUUCUAUAGAAACACAAGAAGCCCUGCAGACAGUAAAACACCUACUACAGUCUACAGCCUCUCUGAUUGGUCGACGCUAGCACCCAAACAAAGACAUGUAACUGUGUGGGUGUCAACGUCUACACAGCCAGGAUUCCCAGGAGCAGGGGGGAUAUCGAGAGGAUGGCGGGUCAGCGUGGUUUUGGGGACCUCCACACCCCGUACGGCCACCGUCAAGCGUCUCAGCCCGGCCAACAGAACUGUCAAGUAGAGACACACCGUCACCAAUCAGCAGGUUGAAACACACAGAGGAAGAUGAGGGAGAAGACAUCUUCCUCUCUGUUCUGUCCUCUCAGCACAGAAAAUAUGGAUUUGAUCAAGCCAGUUAGUGUUGAACAUGUUUUCUAUAUUGCUCUGGUCUCUACUCUGACUCCUGUUUUUGGAGGCAGCAGGAAGGGCCAGAAAAAAAGACAUUUCUGUGAGCGCUCUCUAAAACAGACAAUAUUAUUCAAUACCAUCACACACAGCCUAGUUAAACCCCCUUCGCCUCCUCCACUCUUUUUUUUGUAUUUAUUUUACCUUUAUUUAACUAGGCAAGCCAGUUAAGAACAAAUUCUUAUUUACAAUGAUGGCCUAGAAAAAGGCAAAAGGCCUCCUGCAGGAACCCCUCUCCCUCCCUCCCUCCCUCCCUCCCUCUCCUCCUCUCCAACCCUCUCCCUCCCUCACUCCCUCUCUAGAAUACACUGAUCUAUAAACAACAGGCUCUAGAAUACACUGAUCUAUAACCAACAGGUUCUAUAAUACACUGAUCUAUAACCAACAGGUACUAGAACACACUGAUCUAUAACCAACAGGCUCUAGAAUACACUGAUCUAUAAACAACAGGCUCUAGAAUACACUGAUCUAUAACCAACAGACUUGGUUCUAGAAUAUACCUCUAUACAUACAGUACUUUCAGCGGUGACCUGUCAUUCAGGGCUGUUUUGAGCCCUACCUGCUUAGCCCCCCUGUUUUGCAUGUUAUUUUUAUCAGUUUGCAAACAAUAAAAAAAUCAUUGAGUUAAUAAAGCCACAUGCAAAACAUUUUUUUUUCUUGAGUAAGGCAGCUCCAAAAUGCAGGUGUUUCAUCCUAGCUCAGUGAUUUCUGUGGUGGUGGAGCAGCCAGCGGGAAAUACAGGGCGUAGGGGUUGGUAACGUUCUCUAAUUGCGCCGUGAUUGGCUCAGUGUUGUCACUCAUUGGGAUACUAGGUCACCGCAAAAUCUACAGGGAGAGCUCGAAAAUUCAAGCCCCUUGGGUUCUGCCAUAGAUUUACAUUAGUAGUGCCCAUCCAAGAAGGCUCAAGAUCAUUGGCCACAGAUAUAAUUACAUCAAAUCACGUUAUAUGUACCGUUGCUUUGAUUGGACUGAUCAUGUCAACAUACUUUCAAAAUCUUAGCUAGCAAGCGGUCAUCAUCAUGCAUCAAGUCAACAAUCUACUGGCAAAUCCUUCUCAAGGUGAGAAAUUACAGCUAAAACGUAUCGGUGCUCGUCGGCUAUUGGACAUAAACAUUACACAAGUUGGAAAUAGGAAAUUCAACAAUGAGUGGUUUGGAAGGAAUCAGUGGCUAACUGCAAGCGUUGCUAAGCAAUCACUAGCCGGCUAAUCAGUGGAGAGGGUGUGUGGUCCAAGUCUGAGUUUAAGGGUCUCUUUUCCAAGCUUAAAAAGGAUAAACAUUCACAUGCAACACAAUGGCCCAGAAAAGGUUGAAUACAUUGGCCAUGCAUGCUGUCAAUCCAGCAUGAUUUCGGCCGCAUUCAAAACAACUGGAAACUCGGGAAAUCUCAGACUUCAGUGAGUUCAAGACAACUGGGAACUCUGGAAAGAAAAUGUUUUAAAAAGAGUUCCCGACUGGGAAAAUGUGUUUUUAACGGUCAUCCAACUCGAAAACUUUCUGACUUUAAGAUGAGUUUUGUUUGUUUUCCUGAGUUUCCAGUUUUUCUUCCACAAAUGUCUUGUUAACAAACUAUAGUUUUGGCAAGUCAG
rnacentral:lncRNA from 8 species